rnacentral:rRNA from 1 species
AGCAGUCGCCGCGGUAAUACGUAGGGUGCAAGCGUUAAUCGGAAUUACUGGGCGUAAAGCGUGCGCAGGCGGUUUUGUAAGACAGAGGUGAAAUCCCCGGGCUCAACCUGGGAACUGCCUUUGUGACUGCAAGGCUAGAGUACGGCAGAGGGGGAUGGAAUUCCGCGUGUAGCAGUGAAAUGCGUAGAUAUGCGGAGGAACACCGAUGGCGAAGGCAAUCCCCUGGGCCUGUACUGACGCUCAUGCACGAAAGCGUGGGGAGCAAACAGGAUUAGAUACCCGCGUAGUCCCUGUCUCUUAUAC